GGCUAAAUAACAUAACUGGCAAAUGUAUUAGAUUGCAAAUCUUAGAAUAUCGGUUCAAAUCCGGUUUUAGCCU
rnacentral:tRNA from 1 species